rnacentral:rRNA from 1 species
UACGGGGGGGGCAAGCGUUGUUCGGAAUUACUGGGCGUAAAGGGCGCGUAGGCGGUUCGCUAAGUUGGAUGUGAAAACUCUGGGCUUAACCCAGAGCCUGCAUCCAAAACUGGCGAACUGGAGUACUGGAGGGGAAAGCGGAAUUCCUGGUGUAGCGGUGAAAUGCGUAGAUAUCAGGAGGAACACCGGUGGCGAAGGCGGCUUCCUGGCCUGUUCUUGACGCUGAGGCGCGAAAGCUAGGGGAGCAAACGGG